AUUGAACGCUGGCGGCAGGCCUAACACAUGCAAGUCGAGCGAGCGGCGGACGGGUGAGUAAUGUAUGGGAAACUGCCCGAUGGAGGGGGAUAACUACUGGAAACGGUAGCUAAUACCGCAUACCGUCGGAUGGACCCAGAUGGGAUUAGCUAGUAGGUAGGGUAACGGCUUACCUAGGCGACGAGCCCUAGCUGGUCUGAGAGGAUGAUCAACCACACUGGAACUGAGACACGGCCCAGACUCCUACGGGAGGCAGCAGUGGGGAAUAUUGCACAAUGGGCGCAAGCCUGAUGCAGCCAUGCCGCGUGUAUGAAGAAGGCCUUAGGGUUGUAAAGCACUUUCAGCCGGGAGGCGUUACCCGCAGAAGAAGCACCGGCUAACUCCGUGCCAGCCGCCGCGGUAAUAC
rnacentral:rRNA from 1 species